GUGAAAUUUGUUGCUCCUCAUUUACCUGCAAGGGAAAUGUAGCACUCUUGUUUCCUACGUAUCCCGAUACGACAUGACUUUGUAUGGAAAGAACCCUUGGUGAUUUUCCCAUGAUUGCACUGUUUGUUAGCUUAAUUCCUUAUGCGAAACAGGAAAACGGGUAAACGAGUCUCUGUGCAUCCACAAUACUAGGGUUCUACCGUUUCGGAAUGUUACGUCGACAUGAUUUUUUAUCACGUGAAUCAAUUGAAUUCAAGCCGAGCCGUGCAGCAGACGCUUCUCUGUGUAGUGUUUACUAUUGACUUAUAUAGUAUGGAUAUGGAAUCAAUACACGGGGCAAAUGUAUGAAGAGGAAUUAUUUAAUAAUGUCACUUUGCUACGGAGCAUAGAUGUUGCAGAUAUACCACCACUCCACAUUGUUUUCUGAUCUCUUUGCGGAAUGCAAAGGACUAUGACGUAUACCCGUUUUGUAAACAGUGAAGACGUGUUAGUUUGACGUUUGAUAAAAUCUUUUCCAGCUGUUGCAGUGGUCUUUCUAUUUCGGUAU